rnacentral:lncRNA from 1 species
GGGGCAGUAAUUCUCAAGGUUGUGGGAACAAUUGUCACAUGAUCCGCAAGAACCCACUAUGCAUCCAACACCGACUUUGUCUCCAACCUUGAAUUUUUGUACCUUGCUCCCUACCUCUGUCACUACACCGACAAUCUCAUGCCUGCAUUGUGUCAUUUAAUUAAGUUCACAUUUAAUGUUAGUUAAUUAAACUCAUGCAAUAUUUCAGAUACUAAUUUUCUCUAUAUUAAUCAUUCGGUAUUAGACCUACCCGGGAACCAAAGGAUAUUUAGAACUUCCCCAGUCAUUCUUUGCCGUGUGAAGGUCGGUAUGGCAUAUCCCACAAUAUAAUACUUUGAAUGUCACGUCUUUUUCUCCCGAUGCCCUGCAACCAAUUAAAUCAGUUCAAUUUUAUAGAACUAAUUCAAAACAUGAGAUAAUGCAUGGAGAGGGCAAGAAGAACCCAAGAAAAGCCUAUGAUCAUACUGCAUUCUAUCCUCUUUUAGAUAUAAAUGGAAAGUUUAUUAAUUUCGUCAGGUUAUUAAGACAUGAAAAACUUAAAUCAAAUGGAUUUUAAACCUAAAAAAUAAAAAACCUAAUCUUUUUUUCUUUUUUUUUAUUUGUUCGAUUUCUUUGUCUUCCCUAAAGAAGAAACUAUUAAUGUCGAAAAUUAAUAACCUUCUUGAGAAUUUGAAGGGAGAUAAAACACCGGAUGAAUCCCUUGCAGCCCAUCCAAUGGCCUUCUUAGGGUGUUCUUCCUCUGGAGAUUUCGCCAUUUUCUUUCUUGUUAGUUAUUAUUUUCUCUCAUAGUGUAUAUUAACUUAUAUACAACUUUUUUGCGACGUGCUAGUCUUUCGGGAGUUUUUGCUCACAUAAAUCCAACUUUCUUGGCUUCUUCUUAGUCUGAAUCCAAUUUUUUGGGUGGCCAUACAACUGUCCCGGGAAAGUACACUCAACAAUAUUUGGUUUGAGCUUACCUCCGUAAUUGUGGUUGAUGAUUUAAAAGAAAUUAAACAUUUUGAUUUACAUAUAUGUUUUAAUAUAUAAAAAAAAACAUUUGACUACUUUCAAAACAAAUUUUGAUACUUUUCCGGAAUUAUUUAUACAUACAAACCAAAUAAUUAGUUAUAAUCCUCAUUCACAUGAUUAUACUCGCGCAUUUCAUCUUCUUGGGAAAGGUAUACUUAUUCGUCAUGUAUGGACUGAUCGAAAUAACAUUUCCUUGAUAAAUUGAGGUAUAAUUGAGGGAUUUCUCAAAUAAAGUCUCGUUAAAAAAAAAUUAACAAAAUUUUAUUUUUGUAUGCCCAAAAUAAAACAAUGCUACUUUUUGCGGUGCGUUUUUUUCUUUCUCUUUUUGUAUGUGAAUCAACGAGUAUAAGUUAUCAUGUCUCAGCGCAAUUAAAAAAGAAAAGAAAGACAAAGCCCAUUACAAAAAUCCAGCGAAGGUAGCAUGACCCAAAGAUUACGAAGCCCAUAAAGGGAGCAAUACAAAUACAGAAGGGUCCAAAUUCCACUUGUGCAACAGAAUAGUCAAUUUUGCGGAGUUAUCAUGUUUGUGCCUCCACAUUAAUUCUUAAAGUAUAUAGAAACCUGCAAGAGCUUAUAGCUCAACUCAAGUUGUUAAGAGUAUUUACUUUUGCAUUUGAAUUCCUAGUUUUGAUUCUUUCUUCUUUCAAUAUUGUUUGAAUAUAAAAAAUAAAAAAUAAAAGCAUAAAGAGACAUUAAAUAUAUUUAUAUUUUUAAAAUUAAAUGAUGAAGGUGAAAGUUGUGCACGUUUCCAUUUAAUUAAGAGCGAGAGGCUCAAUUGGGACCACUAGAUUGACAGGAAAGUUGUCGUUCUAAAUAGCAUGAAUGGAAUCAGACAAUAUUAGACUGCACAUAGGCUUAGAAGUAAGUCGGUCACGUAGGAUUAGAUAUCUUAUUAUUUUCACAGCACAAUAAUACCAAAUUUGUCUUUAGACUGCACAUAAGCUUCGAAGUAAGUCGUUCACAUGGAGGGAAAGUUAAUCAGAUAUCUAAUCAACGAUUAUAAAACAAGAUAAAACCAAAACGUCAUCUCAGAUGAGGUGAGGUGAACAUGCAUAUAUGUACUUGCCAUUUCAUUUAUUUAUUUAAAAUCCAUCCUGUCCUGUGUGCCAAGUUGUUCUCUAAAUUUAUAAUUUUCACAUGACAAGUCAAUAAAGAAAACAUGUAGAAGAACCAAGAAAGUAGUUGCUGGAAACUGAACUCGAACUUAAUUCAUUGACUGAUAAAAAAAAUACAAUUUAAAUAGAACUCACAAGAUCAAACUGGGCAGGAAAACAUGGAACAACAAUCCCAUGACCAACACGACUAGCAGUUACUAUUAGACUCCCAACAUAUAUAAUGGGAUGCUCUUAUAGAAUAGGUAAAACCACAGCUGACCUUCUAACAAAAUUUAAGAGCUAGACUUCAGUGUGUUUCCGAUGUCUAUAACAAAUCGGUAUCUGACAUCUGCUUUGACAAGGCGCUCCAUGGCAGUGUUCAGAUAAUCAAUCGGGAUAACCUCGAUGUCAGCUGUUAUGUUGUGUUUGGCUGCAAAGUCAAUCAUCUCUUGUGUCUCCUUCAUUCCUCCAAUGCAACUGCCGCCUACUAUCUUCCUUCCUAUAAUAUUAAUUGAAGAACAAAUUGAAAUGUUUGUUAACAACUUUAAUAUAUAGACAAUGAACCGAUUCAAAUUAAUGUACACUUCUGGAGCACUUACCCAUGAGCAAAGGAAAAGCUGGAAGCUCAAGAGGCUUCUCUGGUGCACCAACCAUCACAAGCUUUCCAUGAGACUUCAACAAACCAAUCAAAGGCAAAAGAGGGUGGACGGCAGAAACCGUGUCGAUGAUGCCAUCCAUUGUGCCUAGGGCAGCCUACAAAUCAAAUCAACAAAAGUAAAUUAACCCAAAAACAUGUGACAAUCUAACGUCAACUUAAUUGUUCAAAUAAUCACCUGCAUUUGAUCUUGGUCCCGGCUGACCAAAAAUGAAUCAGCAUGGAGAUGGUCAAUAGCUUCUUCCUUCUUAUUAGGGGAGGUGCUGAUCACUGUAACCUUAACCCCCAUAGCCUUGGCAAACUUCACGGCGACGUGCCCUAAACCGCCUAGACCAACAACACCGACAUGCAUACCAGGUUUGUCAAGUCCGAAAUAUCUCAAGGGGCUGUAAGUUGUAAUCCCGGCACAUAGGAGAGGAGCAGCUCCAUCAAGAGGUAGGCUGUCCGGAACACGAACGAUGAAGUGUUCGUCGGCCACCAUGAUAUCGGAGUAACCGCCAUAUGUGGUGGUUCCGUCGAGGUACUUGGAACCAUAGGUGAGUAUCAUUUUGGGGCAGUAAUUCUCAAGGUUGUUGGCACAACUGUCACAAGAAUGGCAAGACCCAACCAUGCAUCCAACACCUACCUUGUCUCCAACUUUGAAUUUUUCUACUUUGCUUCCUACCUCUGUCACUACGCCAACAAUUUCAUGCCUGCAUUGCCCCAAAUAAGUUCACUUAUAGGAAUGCGUUCAUUGAAAAGCUUGAGCUAAUUAACUUACGUUCACAUCACCCAUCAGUAAAUGCUCUGGUCUGACUGUAAACUUGUGAUAAUUCUAGCAAGUAUUUUUCUUAAUUUUCUUAUGGCAUGCCCUGCCUUUCAUUGCCACCAAUCAAAUAAAAGUUUUACAGAAAAAUUAAUUUGAAAACUUUAUACUAAACUAAAGUCAUAAAAAACAUAUAUUGAGAAAAAGACCCAUGCAUUUAGGACAAAUGCAACAGACAUCGUACUUAUGCGUUUCGGUUUAUUUUUUAAGGAGCUAAAUUUUGCUCUUUUUAAAUUAAAAAAUUGUUAUUAACACUUGAAUUAAAAAUCAUGGCGUAUUUCUCACUAGAAUUGAUUCGAUGCAAAUUUCAAUAGUUCCUCUACCAAUAUAUCAAAAAAGAAAAUCAACGACUAACUAAACUAAAGUCAUGUUUGAUAAAUGACAAC